CACCAAGUGAGUAUUAUUAUUGAGGAUGACAAAGAUGGGCGUAGUUUGCUUCUUGUAUAUCAGAUUCAUUCAAUUGGGUGAAAGCAAGAAAGCACUAGCUUGAAAAAUUAGAAUUAAUAUGGAUUUUGUUCAUUGAUUGCUUUGCUAUCAACAAUGUGCAGGAAUUGUGGAGGGAUUGAGUGCUAUGAUGUGCCAAUAUUGUCUUUUCUUAUUAUGUGGGUAAAUGGAAAUGCAGC
rnacentral:misc_RNA from 1 species